UUGAGUUUGAUCCUGGCUCAGGACGAACGCUGGCGGCGCGCCUAACACAUGCAAGUCGAACGAGCGAGAGAGAGCUUGCUUUCUCAAGCGAGUGGCGAACGGGUGAGUAACGCGUGAGGAACCUGCCUCAAAGAGGGGGACAACAGUUGGAAACGACUGCUAAUACCGCAUAAGCCCACGGCUCGGCAUCGAGCAGAGGGAAAAGGAGCAAUCCGCUUUGAGAUGGCCUCGCGUCCGAUUAGCUAGUUGGUGAGGUAACGGCCCACCAAGGCAACGAUCGGUAGCCGGACUGAGAGGUUGAACGGCCACAUUGGGACUGAGACACGGCCCAGACUCCUACGGGAGGCAGCAGUGGGGAAUAUUGCACAAUGGGGGAAACCCUGAUGCAGCGACGCCGCGUGGAGGAAGAAGGUCUUCGGAUUGUAAACUCCUGUUGUUGGGGAAGAUAAUGACGGUACCCAACAAGGAAGUGACGGCUAACUACGUGCCAGCAGCCGCGGUAAAACGUAGGUCACAAACGUUGUCCGGAAUUACUGGGUGUAAAGGGAGCGCAGGCGGGAAGACAAGUUGGAAGUGAAAUCUAUGGGCUCAACCCAUAAACUGCUUUCAAAACUGUUUUUCUUGAGUAGUGCAGAGGUAGGCGGAAUUCCCGGUGUAGCGGUGGAAUGCGUAGAUAUCGGGAGGAACACCAGUGGCGAAGGCGGCCUACUGGGCACCAACUGACGCUGAGGCUCGAAAGUGUGGGUAGCAAACAGGAUUAGAUACCCUGGUAGUCCACACCGUAAACGAUGAUUACUAGGUGUUGGAGGAUUGACCCCUUCAGUGCCGCAGUUAACACAAUAAGUAAUCCACCUGGGGAGUACGACCGCAAGGUUGAAACUCAAAGGAAUUGACGGGGGCCCGCACAAGCAGUGGAGUAUGUGGUUUAAUUCGACGCAACGCGAAGAACCUUACCAAGUCUUGACAUCCCUUGACAGGCAUAGAGAUAUGUAAUCUUUUCGGAGCAAGGAGACAGGUGGUGCAUGGUUGUCGUCAGCUCGUGUCGUGAGAUGUUGGGUUAAGUCCCGCAACGAGCGCAACCCUUAUGGUCAGUUACUACGCAAGAGGACUCUGGCCAGACUGCCGUUGACAAAACGGAGGAAGGUGGGGAUGACGUCAAAUCAUCAUGCCCUUUAUGACUUGGGCUACACACGUACUACAAUGGCGUUAAACAAAGAGAAGCAAGACCGCGAGGUGGAGCAAAACUCAGAAACAACGUCCCAGUUCGGACUGCAGGCUGCAACUCGCCUGCACGAAGUCGGAAUUGCUAGUAAUCGUGGAUCAGCAUGCCACGGUGAAUACGUUCCCGGGCCUUGCACUCACCGCCCGUCA
rnacentral:rRNA from 1 species